GUUAGCGGCGGACGGGUGAGUAACACGUAGGCAACCUGCCUGUAAGACCGGGAUAACUAUCGGAAACGAUAGCUAAGACCGGAUAGCUGGUUUUCUCGCAUGAGGGAAUCAUGAAACACGGAGCAAUCUGUGGCUUACGGAUGGGCCUGCGGCGCAUUAGCUAGUUGGUGAGGUAACGGCUCACCAAGGCGACGAUGCGUAGCCGACCUGAGAGGGUGAUCGGCCACACUGGGACUGAGACACGGCCCAGACUCCUACGGGAGGCAGCAGUAGGGAAUCUUCCGCAAUGGACGCAAGUCUGACGGAGCAACGCCGCGUGAGUGAUGAAGGUUUUCGGAUCGUAAAGCUCUGUUGCCAGGGAAGAACGCUUGGGAGAGUAACUGCUCCUGAGGUGACGGUACCUGAGAAGAAAGCCCCGGCUAACUACGUGCCAGCAGCCGCGGUAAUACGUAGGGGGCAAGCGUUGUCCGGAAUUAUUGGGCGUAAAGCGCGCGCAGGCGGUUAUUUAAGUUUGGUGUUUAAGCCCGGGGCUCAACCCCGGAUCGCACUGAAAACUGGAUGACUUGAGUGCGGGAGAGGAAAGUGGAAUUCCACGUGUAGCGGUGAAAUGCGUAAAGAUGUGGAGGAACACCAGUGGCGAAGGCGACUUUCUGGACCGUAACUGACGCUGAGGCGCGAAAGC
rnacentral:rRNA from 1 species